GACGAACCGGACGAACGUUAUUCGGAAUCAUUGGGCUUAAAGUGUGCGUAGGCGGCCCUGUAGGUGAGGUGUGAAAUCCCACGGCUCAACCGUGGAACUGCGCUUCAAACCACAGGGCUUGAGUGAGGCAGAGGUAAGCGGAACUGAUGGUGGAGCGGUGAAAUGCGUUGAUAUCAUCAGGAACACCGGUGGCGAAGGCGGCUUACUGGGUCUUGUCUGACGCUGAGGCACGAAAGCUAGGGGAGCAAACGGG
rnacentral:rRNA from 1 species